rfam:TNVERIFIED: Cronobacter phage S13, complete genome.
GCCUGGGUACCCGAGAGGUUAAGGGCGCGGAUUGCAAAUCCGUUGUGCGUCAGUUCGAAUCUGACUCCAGGCU